rnacentral:rRNA from 1 species
GACGAACGCUGGCGGCGUGCCUAAUACAUGCAAGUAGAACGCUGAAGGAGGAGCUUGCUCUUCUGGAUGAGUUGCGAACGGGUGAGUAACGCGUAGGUAACCUGCCUGGUAGCGGGGGAUAACUAUUGGAAACGAUAGCUAAUACCGCAUAACAGUAGAUGUUGCAUGACAUUUACUUAAAAGGUGCAAUUGCAUCACUACCAGAUGGACCUGCGUUGUAUUGGCUAGUUGGUGGGGUAACGGCUCACCAAGGCGACGAUACAUAGCCGACCUGAGAGGGUGAUCGGCCACACUGGGACUGAGACACGGCCCAGACUCCUACGGGAGGCAGCAGUAGGGAAUCUUCGGCAAUGGACGGAAGUCUGACCGAGCAACGCCGCGUGAGUGAAGAAGGUUUUCGGAUCGUAAAGCUCUGUUGUAAGAGAAGAACGAGUGUGAGAGUGGAAAGUUCACACUGUGACGGUAUCUUACCAGAAAGAGACGGCUAACUACGUG